GCGGGUGAGAGGAGCCAGAAUUCGCCGGAUCCGGCGACGGAGGGUGGUUUCCCGGCAGGGAGGAUGGAGCGAGGGGUGGAGUGGAGGCAGGAGGAGGUGGAGUCGUCGGAGGAGGAGGAAGUGGCGGUGGAGGCGAAGAAGGCAUCGCGGCGAGAGAUCGAACGGCUCUUCUUCUUCUUCGAAGACUUCUUGGAGGAGCCGAAGAAGGCCCCCACGGAGAGUUUCAUGGCUUCUUAGAUUUGGGGGGAGGGAACGGGGGAGAGA
rnacentral:lncRNA from 1 species